GAUGAACGCUGGCGGCGUGCCUAAUACAUGCAAGUCGAGCGAACAGACGAUGAGCUUGCUCCUCUGACGUUAGCGGCGGACGGGUGAGUAACACGUGGAUAACCUACCUAUAAGACUGGUAUAACUUCGGGAAACCGGAGCUAAUACCGGAUAACAUGUUGAACCGCAUGGUUCAACAGUGAAAGACGGUUUUGCUGUCACUUAUAGAUGGAUCCGCGCCGCAUUAGAUAGUUGGUAAGGUAACGGCUUACCAAGGCAACGAUGCGUAGCCGACCUGAGAGGGUGAUCGGCCACACUGGAGCUGGACCACGGUCAAGAGUCCUACGGGAGGCAGCAGUCGGGAAUCUUCCGCAAUGGGCGAAAGCAUGACGGAGCAACGCGGCGUGAGUGACGAAGGUCUUCGGAUCGUAAAACUCUGUUAUUAGGGAAGAACCAAUGUGUAAGUAACUAUGCACGUCUUGACGGUACCUAAUCAGAAAGCAACGGCUAACUACGUG
rnacentral:rRNA from 1 species